UACGUAAGUGGCGAGCGUUAUCCGGAAUUACUGGGCGUAAAGCGUGCGUAGGCGGUUUAGUGUGUGGGAUUUGAAAGCCCGGGGCUCAACUCCGGAUCCGGACCCCAAACUGCUAGACUCGAGAGUAUCAGAGGAGAGCGGAAUUCCCGGUGUAGCGGUAAUAUGCGUAGAUAUCGGGGAGGAACACCAGUGGCGAAGGCGGCUCUCCUGGGGGUAGUUUCUGGACGCUGAGGCACGAAAGCCAGGGGCAGCGAUGCGGG
rnacentral:rRNA from 1 species